rnacentral:tRNA from 1 species
CACUAUGAAGCUUAGAGCGUUAACCUUUUAAGUUAAAACUAGAGAUCUCCAAUCUCCAUAGUGA